rnacentral:rRNA from 1 species
CCAGCUUGCUGGGUGGAUUAGUGGCGAACGGGUGAGUAACACGUGAGUAACCUGCCCUUGACUCUGGGAUAAGCCUGGGAAACUGGGUCUAAUACCGGAUAGGAACGUCCACCGCAUGGUGGGUGUUGGAAAGAUUUAUCGGUCAUGGAUGGACUCGCGGCCUAUCAGCUUGUUGGUGAGGUAAUGGCUCACCAAGGCGACGACGGGUAGCCGGCCUGAGAGGGUGACCGGCCACACUGGGACUGAGACACGGCCCAGACUCCUACGGGAGGCAGCAGUGGGGAAUAUUGCACAAUGGGCGAAAGCCUGAUGCAGCGACGCCGCGUGAGGGAUGACGGCCUUCGGGUUGUAAACCUCUUUCAGUAGGGAAGAAGCGAAAGUGACGGUACCUGCAGAAGAAGCACCGGCUAACUACGUGCCAGCAGCCGCGGUAAUACGUAGGGUGCGAGGCGUUAUCCGGAAUUAUUGGGCGUAAAGAGCUCGUAGGCGGUUUGUCGCGUCUGUCGUGAAAGUCCGGGGCUUAACCCCGGAUCUGCGGUGGGUACGGGCAGACUAGAGUGCAGUAGGGGAGACUGGAAUUCCUGGUGUAGCGGUGGAAUGCGCAGAUAUCAGGAGGAACACCGAUGGCGAAGGCAGGUCUCUGGGCUGUAACUGACGCUGAGGAGCGAAAGCAUGGGGAGCGAACAGGAUUAGAUACCCUGGUAGUCCAUGCCGUAAACGUUGGGCACUAGGUGUGGGGACCAUUCCACGGUUUCCGCGCCGCAGCUAACGCAUUAAGUGCCCCGCCUGGGGAGUACGGCCGCAAGGCUAAAACUCAAAGGAAUUGACGGGGGCCCGCACAAGCGGCGGAGCAUGCGGAUUAAUUCGAUGCAACGCGAAGAACCUUACCAAGGCUUGACAUGUUCUCGAUCGCCGUAGAGAUACGGUUUCCCCUUUGGGGCGGGAUCACAGGUGGUGCAUGGUUGUCGUCAGCUCGUGUCGUGAGAUGUUGGGUUAAGUCCCGCAACGAGCGCAACCCUCGUUCCAUGUUGCCCAGCACGUAAUGGUGGGGACUCAUGGGAGACUGCCGGGGUCAACUCGGAGGAAGGUGGGGACGACGUCAAAUCAUCAUGCCCCUUAUGUCUUGGGCUUCACGCAUGCUACAAUGGCCGGUACAAUGGGUUGCGAUACUGUGAGGUGGAGCUAAUCCCAAAAAGCCGGUCUCAGUUCGGAUUGGGGUCUGCAACUCGACCCCAUGAAGUCGGAGUCGCUAGUAAUCGCAGAUCAGCAACGCUGCGGUGAAUACGUUCCCGGGCCUUGUACACACCGCCCGUCAAGUCACGAAAGUCGGUAACACCCGAAGCCGGUGG